rnacentral:misc_RNA from 1 species
GGAGAAUCAUAUUUGGUUGAGUGGAAUGAAAGUGAAGGAGCUGUAAAGCGUACAUAUCAAGGUCUUGGCAAGCGAUCAGUGGGUGUUGUCCAAUUUGAUACCACCAAAAAUCGUUUCUUGGCUGCUGGUGAUGAUUUCUCUGUUAAAUUCUGGGAUAUGGAUAGUGUAAAUCUUUUAACAAGUAUUGAUGCAGAUGGUGGAUUGCCGGCAGCCCCUUGUAUAAGAUUUAACAAGGAUGGAGUACUAUUGGCUGUUUCAACCAACGAUAAUGGUAUCAAGAUUCUAGCCAAUGCAGAGGGAAUUAGGAUGCUCCGAACAGUUGAAAAUCGUACAUUUGAUGCUUCUAGA